AGCCAUUGUCUAAAAAACAAACACACAAUAAUACGCACAAGUGAAACUCAGUUCAAAAGAAGUCCUAGUCCGAUGUCAAAAUAGGUAACAAAAGAAACUAAACAGAAUGACAAUGACACAUAAAUUAACAAAGGACUACAAGCAGUUACUAACAUGCCAGCUCCAGACCUCAAUCAAGCUGAUUGAAAGAUUAUGUCUUCAUCAUAUGAUAAUCAACUACAAUCCCUCC
rnacentral:lncRNA from 1 species